rnacentral:rRNA from 1 species
AGUGAACGCUGGCGGUAGGCCUAACACAUGCAAGUCGAACGGCAGCACAGUAAGAGCUUGCUCUUACGGGUGGCGAGUGGCGGACGGGUGAGGAAUACAUCGGAAUCUACUUUUUCGUGGGGGAUAACGUAGGGAAACUUACGCUAAUACCGCAUACGACCUACGGGUGAAAGCAGGGGAUCUUCGGACCUUGCGCGAUUGAAUGAGCCGAUGUCGGAUUAGCUAGUUGGCGGGGUAAAGGCCCACCAAGGCGACGAUCCGUAGCUGGUCUGAGAGGAUGAUCAGCCACACUGGAACUGAGACACGGUCCAGACUCCUACGGGAGGCAGCAGUGGGGAAUAUUGGGCAAUGGGCGCAAGCCUGACCCAGCCAUCCCGCGUGGGUGAAGAAGGCCUUCGGGUUGUAAAGCCCUUUUGUUGGGAAAGAACAGCAGCAGGUUAAUACCCCGCUGUUCUGACGGUACCCAAAGAAUAAGCACCGGCUAACUUCGUG